UUCACAAGAAAAGUAAAAAAAAGGUAUGGAUUCAUAUACAUAGUAAUAGAACAAACAAAGAAAAUUUGAAAGAAAUAGAUCUCAAAGCAAACCUUCACUGAAAUGGGCUGAGCUAUUGCUGAACGGACCAACGAUCGGAAGCCUCAAACGGAACAUGACAACUCCGCCGAACCUCGCUUUCACUCGACGGGCUGAAACGGUGUCAAUGAAAGAUGAUUAGCGGUGGUUUCGAGCUAAUUUUGGGAGUGAAUUUGAAACCGUUUUUGAGCUGUGUUUUUAGAAGCUUGUUAGUUGUGUUUUCAAGCCAUGUUCGGUGUUGUAGUUAAGGUGUUAUUUCAACUAGAUCUUGGCUUGGUGUUUGUGGAUUUUUGGAGGUGGGGAAACGGCAUAAGUCUGCUGAAGAAAGGGAAGGUUCACCACUGACUUCUCUCUCUUGAAGUCUUUUUCUGUGUGGAGGAAGAAGACAAGUCCUCUAUUUCUUCUAGGAUUAGGUCUCUUGAGGAGUAGUUGAUUUUUUUGGAACUGGGGUCUGUUAUUUUUUUUAUGAA
rnacentral:lncRNA from 1 species